rnacentral:misc_RNA from 1 species
UCCGGUUUGUCACCGGCGGUCUCCUUAGAGUUCCCACCAUUACGUGCUGGCAACUAAGGACAAGGGUUGCGCUCGUUGCGGGACUUAACCCAACAUCUCACGACACGAGCUGACGACAACCAUGCACCACCUGUGCACGGCCCUUACGGACCCCGCAUCUCUGCGAGAUUUCCGUGCAUGUCAAGCCUAGGUAAGGUUCUUCGCGUUGCAUCGAAUUGAACCACAUGCUCCGCUGCUUGUGCGGGUCCCCGUCAAUUCCUUUGAGUUUUAGCCUUGCGGCCGUACUCCCCAGGCGGGGCACUUAAUGCGUUAGCUUCGGCACGGAGGACGUGGAAUGUCCCCCACACCUAGCGCCCAACGUUUACGGCGUGGACUAC